rnacentral:rRNA from 1 species
AACGAACGCUGGCGGCAGGCCUAACACAUGCAAGUCGAGCGAACCGCAAGGUUAGCGGCGGACGGGUGAGUAACGCGUGGGCAACCUGCCCCAUACACGAGGAUAGCCACUGGAAACGGUGAUUAAUACUCGAUAAGACCACACUGCCACAUGGCAGAGCGGCCAAAGAUUUAUCGGUAUGGGAUGGGCCCGCGUCUGAUUAGCUAGUUGGUGAGGUAACGGCUCACCAAGGCGACGAUCAGUAACCGACCUGAGAGGGCGGACGGUCACACUGGAACUGAGACACGGUCCAGACUCCUACGGGAGGCAG